UUUCCGUAGGUGAACUUGCGGAAGGAUCAUUAUUGAAUAAACCUGAUGUGGUUGUAGCUGGCCCUUUCGGGAGCAUGUGCACACCCGUCGUCUUUAUCUUUCCACCUGUGCACCUUUUGUAGACCUGGAUGUAACACUUUCCGAGGCAACUCGGUCGGGAGGAAUGCUGUCAGCUUUCCUUGAAUGUCCAGGCCUAUGUUUUCAUAUACCCCAAAGAAUGUAACAGAGUGUAUUAUUGGGCCUUGUGCCUAUAAACUAUAUACAACUUUCAGCAACGGAUCUCUUGGCUCUC
rnacentral:misc_RNA from 1 species